rnacentral:rRNA from 1 species
AAGACGGAAAGACCCCGUGAACCUUUACUAUAGCUUGACACUGAACACUGGUCCUUGAUGUGUAGGAUAGGUGGGAGGCUUUGAAGUGUGGACGCCAGUCUGCAUGGAGCCAUCCUUGAAAUACCACCCUUUAAUGGCUGGUGUUCUAACGUGGGCCCGUAAUCCGGGUUGCGGACAGUGUCUGGUGGGUAGUUUGACUGGGGCGGUCUCCUCCUAAAGAGUAACGGAGGAGCACGAAGGUCAGCUAAUCCUGGUCGGACAUCAGGAGGUUA